UACGUAGGGUGCAAGCGUUAAUCGGAAUUACUGGGCGUAAAGCGUGCGCAGGCGGUUUGGUAAGACAGAUGUGAAAUCCCCCGGGCUCAACCUGGGAAUUGCAUUUGUGACUGCCCGACUAGAGUGUGUCAGAGGGGGGUAGAAUUCCACGUGUAGCAGUGAAAUGCGUAGAGAUGUGGAGGAAUACCGAUGGCGAAGGCAGCCCCCCUGGGAUAACACUGACGCUCAUGCACGAAAGCGUGGGGAGCAAACAGG
rnacentral:rRNA from 1 species